UACGUAGGGUGCGAGCGUUGUCCGGAAUUAUUGGGCGUAAAGGGCUCGUAGGCGGCCCGCUAAGUCGAACGUGAAAUCCCCGAGCUCAACUCGGGAACUGCGUCCGAUACUGGUGGGCUUGAAUCCGGGAGAGGGAUGCGGAAUUCCAGGUGUAGCGGUGAAAUGCGUAGAUAUCUGGAGGAACACCGGUGGCGAAGGCGGCAUCCUGGACCGGCAUUGACGCUGAGGCGCGAAAGCUAGGGGAGCAAACGGG
rnacentral:rRNA from 1 species